rnacentral:rRNA from 1 species
GACGAACGCUGGCGGCGUGCUUAACACAUGCAAGUCGAACGGAAAGGCCCUGCUUUUGUGGGGUGCUCGAGUGGCGAACGGGUGAGUAACACGUGAGAAACCUGCCCUUGACUUUGGGAUAACUUCAGGAAACUGGGGCUAAUACCGGAUAGGAGCUCCUGCUGCAUGGUGGGGGUUGGAAAGUUUCGGCGGUUGGAGAUGGACUCGCGGCUUAUCAGCUUGUUGGUGGGGUAGUGGCUUACCAAGGCUUUGACGGGUAGCCGGCCUGAGAGGGUGACCGGCCACAUUGGGACUGAGAUACGGCCCAGACUCCUACGGGAGGCAGCAGUGGGGAAUAUUGCACAAUGGGCGGAAGCCUGAUGCAGCAACGCCGCGUGCGGGAUGACGGCCUUCGGGUUGUAAACCGCUUUCGCCUGUGACGAAGCGUGAGUGACGGUAAUGGGUAAAGAAGCACCGGCUAACUACGUG